CCCCUAGACGUUCUGGGCUGCACGCGCGCUACAAUAAUACGCACAGCGAGUAUCACCGAGUUCGAAAGGGCAAGGUAAACAAUAGAAAAGGUACUGUAAUGGUUAUAGAUCCUUGUAAUUAUUGAUCUUCAACGAGGAAUUCCUAGUAAGUAUGUGUCAUCAUCACGCACUGAUUACGUCCCUGCCCUUUGUACACACCGCCCGUCGCUCCUACCGAUUGGGUGAGCCGAUGAAACUCUCGGAUGUAGGCUAUUCAUAGCCCGCAGAAGAGAUUUGAAUCGUAGCGCUUAGAGGAAGGAGAAGUCGUAACA
rnacentral:rRNA from 1 species